rnacentral:rRNA from 1 species
AUGUGCUGUGAUUUGGAAAUGCGGAGGAAGAUUUUUGUUUGUUUGAGGGAAAAAUGGGGAGGAAGUAAAAAAGAAGCAGUUACCAUCAAUCUGAACGCGUGGAGUGAUGCCGGGCAUGCUGUGAAUCAUCUGUAUGAUAUCCUCUACAUGAUGGGCCGCGACGACAUUCUGGUUGGCAUUGGUGGCGACGGUGGGAUAUCAGAUGCCGGCACCAUAUAUCCCAACGUUGGCGGUUAUUUACCUCUGAUUGACCAGGGGAUCACAACUGCCGGGGACUGCCGGUACAGAAAAGCUGUUCCUCUGGAAGGUGGUGGACGGUUGGACAUUGACACAAACUGGGGAAUUAGAAGGAGCUUCCUUCCACAGGGAAACAGAAGAUAUAUACCAUUUCAGCAACCUACAACGCAGCAAGUGUUUCAUUCUGGCAUUCCAAUCACACUUGUCCCUCUUGAUGCAACUAAUACGAUUCCAGUCAAUGAAGAGUUCUUUUAUGCAUUCCAACAACACCAAAGUACAUUUGAGGCAGAAUACUGUUUCAAGUCAUUGAAAAUGGCUCGAGACACAUGGUCUGAUGAUCAGUUCCAUGCAAGCUAUUUUAUGUGGGAUUCCUUUACUUCUGGUGUAGCCAUCUCUAGCAUGCGCAAUGACAAGGACUGCCUGCAUGGAAAUGAUUUUGCUGAGCUAGAAUACAUGAACAUUACAGUAAUAACUUCAAAUGAACCAUAUGGCAUAUAUGAUGGCUCAAACCCAUUAUUCGAUGGCCAUGCUGUUCCCAAGUUUGGUCUUAAAAAGGGCGGAGUUCAUAGUGGUCAUGUUCAAACUGGAAUUAUAGAUAGCUUCUGUCUUAUAGAGGGAAGUAGGAAAGGAAGAUGUGAGGAUGGAUACACUAAGGAAAUUUCUGGUCUAGAAGCAGUCCGUGUUCGUGUUGCCACAAAGGCUAAAUCAAAUGUGGAUAAAAAUAGCCGUUUGGAUAGGGAAUUUUUCAAGAGCUUCCUAGAGGUCUUAACUCUCCGUGAUAACACAGGCCGUUUCGACAUUACAGCACAAUUUCCAUUCUACAGAGAGGUUCUUUACAAGCCAAACUUUGUUAACAAAAGUAGAGGGAAAGUAACCAUCUUUGACAUGGACAUGAGUGCUGGAGAUUUCGUCUCCCUUAUAUAUCUCUUGAAGGCGCCUGUUGAAGAAAUAGAUUUGAAGGGGAUUUUCGUCAGCGGCAAUGGUUGGGCCAAUGCCGCAACUAUUGAUAUCGUUUAUGACAUUCUACAUAUGAUGGGUCGUGAUGACAUUCCUGUUGGCCGUGGCACUUCUACCGCGUUAGGCACUGGAAUCCUUAGCUGCAAGUAUGUCAGUGCUAUUCCCCAAGGGAGUGGUGGACUUCUCGACUCUGACACUCUGUAUGGACUAGCUCGGUCUUUGCCACGAAGUCCUAGAAGGUACACUGCUGAAAAUUCAGUAGAACAUGGCGCUCCUAGAAAUACUGGUAAUCCGGAACUUCGGCAACCAUUGGCUUUUGAAGUUUGGCAGUCUGUUAAAAGGCAACUUGAUCCAAGUGAGAAGAUCACUAUACUUACCAAUGGACCUCUUACAAAUUUGGCCAAUAUUAUGCUCUCUGACAGGAAUGCAAGUUCUGUAAUAAAGAGUGUAUAUGUUGUUGGAGGCCAUAUCAGAGAUGAAAAUGAUUCAAACGGCAACGUGUUCACUGUUCCAUCUAAUAGAUAUGCGGAGUUCAAUCUGUUUCUUGAUCCCCUAGCUGCGAAAGUAGUUCUAGAAUCCACUAUGGAUAUCACUUUGAUUCCUCUUAGCUCUCAGAGAAAAGCUUCUUCCUUUCAGACUCUCCUUGAAUCUCUAGAGUAUGCUGAAAAUACUCCAGAAUCAAGUUUUGUCCUCCAUUUGUUGUCAUUGCUGCAUGACUUGCAACAGAAGCACCGGCUGUACCAUCAUAUGGGUAUAUUUCUGGGAGAACUACUUGGUGCUGUUUAUUUGGUGGAAGGAUCAAACAUGGAACAUUCAUUAUUACUGAAGCCAAUAAGCAUUAUUGCUGACAAUACAACAAGCACGGAUGGACAGGUGGUAGUCGACGAACAGAGCGCAAAUUUGGUGAAGGUACUAGUGGAUUUCGAUAGCGACGAAUAUUACAGUCGAGUUGCCAACCAUCUAGGCAACAUGGAGCGAUCUGCCGUUAUUGGUAGUUUUGCAGAACAGAGGUCAUCAUGGAGCAGGCAACCAGAUAACUUGAGAGUACGCUGA